CGGACACGAAUUGAGAGUGCUCCAGUAAUUGUUUAAAUACUUGGGAAUUAUUUUGUGGGAAUUGAUUUUGUGAAUUGUUUGAGAAGUGUGAUUGCCUGUCAAUAACUUGUGUUAAAGAGAAAGUCCUGGUUUUGUAGUAAAAGAGGUUUAUUUUAAAGUUUGUAAUUGACCCGAGCAUUGUUAGUGAGAAGAAGUAGUAAUCAUCCCCUUCAUCAAACUCGAACUGUAACACGGCACAGUCAACAUACGGCGACUUCUCGCGACCGGGUAGGACGCGUGGAUAGUUUCCAGUGGGUGAGGUUCCGCGAUCCCACAGCAUGGGAAUCGGCCUUCUGUAUGAAUGGCUUUUCUGUGGAGAGCAGCAGAGCAGCUCGCUCUUUACAGCUACGCAGCAAUUUGGCCACACUUUUUCAAUCAUGUCUUCAUAUAGAAAUAACUCUUCUCACCACCGGAUGCUUCCUUCCGCUGCCCUGGUCAAGCCUACAUACCUACGUCGUGCGGUUUGCCCAUUCCUUUGUAAGUUUAAAUGACGUUAUAAUUUUACAGGAAAUUGUCACCACAUAUAAUAAUGCGUCAAUACCGAGAAAUCAGGAUGUUGUGGUUUUGUCAUGAAGAAAAAUUAUCAUCCUUAGACUCCCGCAAAUAAACCUGAGCAAUACCUUUUCGGGCUUUGAACUAACAUUGCGAUUAUUCUUGGAAACCAAGAUACAAACAAUUUUGGAAUUUUUUUUACUUGGGAAAUGGAUUCAACAAUUCUCCGUUAGAAUAUGCACAUUACUUUCAAAUACACAUGAUAUAAUUUAUUUAAAUCUUUAAAUUUCAUACGUAGAGACAACUAAUCUUACAGCCAGCAGUAAAAAUUAUACUUGCUCCAUUACCUCAGGAUUUAUACAGGGGUACGAAAGAUAUCCCUUGGUGGCUGCGUCCUUCUGUCUCACACUAAUUGCAAUCAGUUUGUUCGGCAUUGUUGCCAACAUUUUCUGUAUGCUUGUCCUAUCCCGUCCUUCAAUGAGAGAAACGCCAUUUAACAUAUUAUGGAUAUUUGGAUGGAACUUUAGAGAGAGAGCACGUCACCACUCUCUCUGCCACACUAAUAAAUUUUUACAUCAAAGUUUUGAAAUAAAUCGGUGACCCCCCACUUCGCGGAGUAGUGCACGUUCCGCACAUAGUCCAUUAACAACAGUGCAAGUCGAAAAAGUGACAAAAGUGACCGUCUUGACCGCUUUCUUGGUCACCACCGAACCUCUCCUCGGGUCCCGAAAUCACCCCCGCCCAUUGGAAAUAGACUCUCCCAACCAUACUGCAACACAAGGGCCAGCAGCGGAGGAACACAAAUAAGGGCCAUUCAUACCACGCACGGCCCUGAAGACAACUUCCCCCAUAGGAAGGAAAUCUCCUCCCACCACUGUCUUGCCACUUUGUGGGCUCAAUCUCGAGCAUUCGAGAGUAGCUGAGGUUAUAGAGUCCAAUUUUUUAUACAUUUGAACUCAAUCUAAUGAUCUGAUCUUCUCUAAAGCUUCCCAUCUGCUGACCCUCCACAAUUACCCCCCCCCCUCCUCACACACAAUGAAAACGGUCGAGGAAAUUGUCCCACUCGCUCACCCUACAACCAACGUCAUCAUUGUGGAAGGUGGAAUGGCUGAUGAUGACCACAACAAAAUUUACAACCAGCUCGACUUCAGUCAUUGGGGUGAUAAUGAAGCACUUGGACCCGAUUGCCACCUCUGUGGCGAAGAAAUUAUUGACACGACCACCCCCCUCACUCACAACGGAACCAUCUACACAAUAAUAUUUAAGAAGGAUAUUGAAUGCGACAACUGGAUUGUUAGCUUCCUGCAAUGCGUGUAUUGCCAAAAUUUCUUCCACAAAAACCGUUGUAACCUUUCUAUGGCAAAUGAAUCCUAUCUUAAUAUUAUGCAAUCCAAAAGUUGGUCAUGUCCUAAUUGUGUACCCGCGUUUGUAUGUAAAGACAAUAUUUUUAACGCAACUAUUGAUUAUGAAAAACUACUACUCAAGCUAGCUAAGAUUCUAAACCCCUUACUCAACUUACCUACUAAUUGUAAGAUAUCGCACAACUUAUGUUCAAAUGUUAUAAUGACAGCUAUCAAUAGUUUGUUUGACAAGUAUGGUGUUGGAUAAUAAUUGCAAAUUCAUGGUGCUUAUAUAUUGAUCAUUAUACGGCUUGUUAUCCUGACUCUCCUCUGUUUUAUCGUAAUAACUGAAUAACUGGGAGGAAAAUUAUACUUUACUACCACGUUUUAUUUAAUAGUAUUGAUCUGCGUAUGUUUAGUUAAAUUUAAGAAUUAUUUAUUGCUUAUUUAUACAGUAUUAGCUUAUGGUGUCAUGAUUUGUAAACCAGUUUGUACUAACUGAUAAUUAUUGACACUCGAAUAAAGGCUUACAAACAAAUACAAACAAA